rnacentral:lncRNA from 1 species
AAAAAUAGAGUUACAAAUAGGAAAAGUGGGACAGGUUUUCCCCUUCCCUACACUACACAAAAACAACUAUCAAGGUCAAACCGACCCUGAUGCGGGUUAUGGUAGACAAGACAACACCAACACCACCUCAUAUUAGACUAUCUGCUACUUUGAACAUGACAAAGAAUACUAGUUUUAAAUAUAAUGUUAGUCCCUGCAAAUAUAGUGUUUAUUAGUUUUAGUCCCUAUAAGUGUUUUUGAUUGAGUUUGGUCCCUGUAUAUUCAUAAUUAUUUUUUUAGUCUCUAGCACCAUAUGUGGCCCAAUAUGACUAAAAAACCGUUUUUUAACUUACAGGGACUAGACCCAAAGCAAAAAAAGCACUAUAUUUCUAUGAAGCACAGACAAACAGGGACACCGGAUAAGACACCGACACAUUGAUACCAAUAAUAAUUUGAGAAAAUGAAAUAAUUCAAUGUAAUUAUUAGGUGUGGGUUUCGUGUCAGUGUCGGACACUGACACAUGUCCGACACAAUGACCGACACCGGAACAUGGCUAAUCCGAGGAGUGUCCGUGCUUCACAGCUAUAUUUGUAUGACUAACAUAACAUUUAAACCAAACAAUUACUACAUGUAUGCCUUCCCUAAUGCAUUUGAGAUCCUAGUAAAGAAAUUACAACUAACAUAUUAGAUAAAAUUAAUAUUUGAACAUCAGCAAACUUGUCAAAUUUAAGUAGAAACAUGUAACAUGAGAAGUAUUGAAACAUGCAUAAAUCCACUUUUAAUAACUAUCAAGGUAAAUAAUUGGUAGCUACACUACACAAUCAAAGAGGUGCUAAACAACAACUAAUGAAAACAAAUAAUUAACAAAAUGUCAAUUCCAAAAACCAUUACAAAACUACUCUAUACUGUGAGCAACAAAACAGCAACAGAAUCAUAUAAACAAUAUUCAGCUGCAAUAACCUAGGAACACUCUAAACCAAUCCCAAGCAGAAACGAAACGAAACGAAAGAUAGAAGGAAACAGAAAAAACCAACACGAGAAACAAUGUUGCGGUGGCAGUGUGUAAU